AUUUGGUAAGUGCAAUUAUCUUCAAAUUUGUUGUACUUAUUUUUAACUAAGAGAUUGAGAGGUGUAUAAAUUUUUAAGCAAGAUCAAUGGUUAAAUCAAUAGAUAUUGGAGUUCUAAUCUACCUUAGGAUUGGUUUGAGUUGGUUAGGGUUUGGUUUAUGGUUUAGGAUUUGUCUAGGAUUUGGUUUAGGAUUUAAGAUUCUUUUAGGAUUUGAUUUAGAAUUUAAGGUUUUUUUAGGGCUUAGGAUUUGUCUAAGAUUUGGUUUAGGAUUUAGGAUUUAAGGUUUGUCUAGGAUUUGGUUUAAGACUCAUGAUUUAAUUAGGAUUUGACCAAGGAUUUAGUUAAAGUCUAUUAAGGUUUCAAUUAGGAUUAAAGUAAGAUUUGAUUAGGAUUUAUUUAAGAUUUAUUCAAAUUUUUUCUAAUAUUUAUAUAGGAUUUCUUUUGGAUUUUUUAAAGAUUUCUUUAAGAUGUACUUAUUACUUUUUUAUGAUUUUUUAAGAAUUUCUUUAGAAUUUCUUUAAGUUUUUUUCAUGUUUUUUUUGUAAUUUCUUAAAGAUUACUUUUGGAUUUGAUUAAAUCUUAA
rnacentral:lncRNA from 1 species